rnacentral:lncRNA from 1 species
UUUUCGGUUUAUCGGUUUUAGGUCUUUAACGGUUCGGUUUUCGGUUUAACCAAUAAGAAAAUGCUUUCAAAACAAAUAUAUGACUUAUCCAAUAAUUUGACGCGAUACGCAUACAUCGAAAUAAUCAUUCCAAACGGGACAACAAGGACCAACUUGUUGUAUUUUGGUCAUCACAACAAAGACUUGGUUAAUUUUCAAUCACCAUAAUAUAUA